AUUGAACGCUGGCGGCAGGCCUAACACAUGCAAGUCGAGCGAGCGGCGGACGGGUGAGUCAUGUAUGGGGACUGCCCGAUAGCGGGGGAUAACUACUGGAAACGGUGGCUAAUACCGCAUACUAUCCGAUAACCCAUAUGGGAUUAGCUAGUAGGUGGGGUAAAGGCUCACCUAGGCGACGAUCUCUAGGUGGGCUGAGCGGAUGAUCAUACACACUGGAAAUGAGACACGGCCCAGACUCAAAGGGAGGCAGCAGUGGGUAAUAUUGCACAAUGGGCGCAAGCCUGAUGCAGCCAUGCCGCGUGUAUGAAGAAGGCCUUAGGGUUGUAAAGUACUUGCAGCGGGGAGGCGUUACCCGCAGAAGAAGCACCGGCUAACUCCGUGCCAGCAGCCGCGGUAAUAC
rnacentral:rRNA from 1 species